AGGAUGAACGCUGGCGGCGUGCCUAAUACAUGCAAGUCGAGCGAACGGACGAGAGUGCUUGCACUCUCUGAUGUUAGCGGCGGACGGGUGAGUAACACGUGGGUAACCUACCUAUAAGACUGGGAUAACUUCGGGAAACCGGAGCUAAUACCGGAUAAUAUUUAGCUUCGCAUGAAGCAAUAGUGAAAGACGGUUCUGCUGUCACUUAUAGAUGGACCCGCGGUGUAUUAGCUAGUUGGUGAGGUAACGGCUCACCAAGGCAACGAUACAUAGCCGACCUGAGAGGGUGCGACCACACUGGGACUGAGACACGGCCCAGACUCCUACGGGAGGCAGCAGUAGGGAAUCUUCCGCAAUGGACGAAAGUCUGACGGAGCAACGCCGCGUGAGUGAAGAAGGUUUUCGGAUCGUAAAACUCUGUUGUAAGGGAAGAACAAGUACGUUAGUAACUGAACGUACCUUGACGGUACCUUACCAGAAAGCCACGGCUAACUACGUGCCAGCAGCCGCGGUAAUACGUAGGUGGCAAGCGUUAUCCGGAAUUAUUGGGCGUAAAGCGCGCGUAGGCGGUCUCUUAAGUCUGAUGUGAAAGCCCCCGGCUCAACCGGGGAGGGUCAUUGGAAACUGGGAGACUUGAGUGCAGAAGAGGAGAGUGGAAUUCCAUGUGUAGCGGUGAAAUGCGCAGAGAUAUGGAGGAACACCAGUGGCGAAGGCGGCUCUCUGGUCUGUAACUGACGCUGAGGUGCGAAAGCGUGGGGAUCAAACAGGAUUAGAUACCCUGGUAGUCCACGCCGUAAACGAUGAGUGCUAAGUGUUGGGGGGUACGGUCGCAAGACUGAAACUCAAAGGGGGAAUUGACGGGGACCCGCACAAGCGGUGGAGCAUGUGGUUUAAUUCGAAGCAACGCGAAGAACCUUACCAAAUCUUGACAUCCUUUGACAACUCUAGAGAUAGAGCUUAAAUCCCCUUCGGGGGACAAAGUGACAGGUGGUGCAUGGUUGUCGUCAGCUCGUGUCGUGAGAUGUUGGGUUAAGUCCCGCAACGAGCGCAACCCUUAUCUUUAGUUGCCAUCAUUAGGUUGGCGGUGACAAACCGGAGGAAGGUGGGGAUGACGUCAAAUCAUCAUGCCCCUUAUGAUUUGGGCUACACACGUGCUACAAUGGAUGGUACAAAGGGCAGCAAAACCGCGAGGUCAAGCAAAUCCCAUAAAACCAUUCUCAGUUCGGAUUGUAGUCUGCAACUCGACUACAUGAAGCUGGAAUUGUCGCUAGUAAUCGUAGAUCAGCGCUACGGUGAAUACGUUCCCGGGUCUUGUACACACCGCCCGUCACACCACGAGAGUUUGUAACACCCGAAGCCGGUGGAGUAACCUUUUAGGAGCUAGCCGUCGAAGGUGGGACAGAUGAUUGGGGUG
rnacentral:rRNA from 1 species